UAAAAAGUAGUCAAGGAAAAACAGAUUUCUGCAUUUGGCAUGUCAAAAAAAAAUUCUCUGGCCUCUUGAAGAGUCCUUCAUGUUUCUAUCAGGAAAUGGGUGGCCUCUUUCCCCAUGAGUCCUCUUGAUCUGUGGCACUAGGUAACUACAGUGAGUAAAUGGUGUGUAAAGGAAGGGUAAAUACCACCAAUCGUGAUGGAAGAAAAGACGAAGAACUUGACUAACUUGAACUUCUUAGCAAAACGGUCUCAUACUGACUCCUGUCACCAGGCCACGUUCAGCUUGAUUUCCAAAGUCCAAGAGAGAAAUCAUCUCCUUCUUCCCUGGUAUAAGACAACCGGCAUCAGUCAGGCACUAGGUAACUGAUGUGAGUAAAUAGAGGGCCAAGCAAGGGAGCAUAUGACCAAAGGUGAGAGAAAAAAUGAUAAAGAACAC
rnacentral:lncRNA from 1 species